AUACGGAGGAUGCAAGCGUUAUCCGGAUUUAUUGGGUUUAAAGGGUGCGUAGGCGGAGGAGUAAGUCAGGGGUGAAAUGCCGCAGCUCAACUGCGGAACUGCCUUUGAUACUGCCUUUCUGGAGUUCGGAUGCCGUGGGAGGAAUGGGCAGUGUAGCGGUGAAAUGCAUAGAUAUUGCCCAGAACACCGAUUGCGAAGGCAUCUCACGAAUCCGAGACUGACGCUGAGGCACGAAAGCGUGGGGAUCAAACAGGAUUAGAUACCCUGGUAGUCCACGCAGUAAACGAUGAUAACUAACCGUCGGCGAUAGAAUGUCGGUGGCCAAGCGAAAGCGAUAAGUUAUCCACCUGGGGAGUACGUUCGCAAGAAUGAAACUCAAAGGAAUUGACGGGG
rnacentral:rRNA from 1 species